rnacentral:rRNA from 1 species
CGAGCGAAGCGUAUUAGCGGAAGUUUUCGGAUGGAAGCGGAUAUGACUUAGCGGCGGACGGGUGAGUAACGCGUGGAUAACCUGCCUCAUACAGGGGGAUAACAGUUAGAAAUGACUGCUAAUACCGCAUAAGCGCACAGGACCGCAUGGUCCGGUGUGAAAAACUCCGGUGGUAUGAGAUGGAUCCGCGUCUGAUUAGCUGGUUGGUGAGGUAACGGCCCACCAAGGCGACGAUCAGUAGCCGACCUGAGAGGGUGGCCGGCCACAUUGGGACUGAGACACGGCCCAAACUCCUACGGGAGGCAGCAGUGGGGAAUAUUGCACAAUGGGGGAAACCCUGAUGCAGCAACGCCGCGUGAGUGAAGAAGUAUUUCGGUAUGUAAAGCUCUAUCAGCAGGGAAGAAGAAAGACGGUACCUGACUAAGAAGCCCCGGCUAACUACGUGCCAGCAGCCGCGGUAAUACGUAGGGGGCAAGCGUUAUCCGGAUUUACUGGGUGUAAAGGGAGCGUAGACGGCUGUGCAAGUCUGAAGUGAAAGCCCGUGGCUCAACCGCGGAACUGCUUUGGAAACUGUAUAGCUUGAGUACUGGAGAGGCAGGCGGAAUUCCUAGUGUAGCGGUGAAAAUGCGUAGAUAUUAGGAGGAACACCAGUGGGGAAGGCGGCCUGCUGGACAGAAACUGACGUUGAGGCUCGAAAGCGUGGGGGAGCAAACAGGAUUAGAUACCCUGGUAGUCCACGCGGUAAACGAUGAAUGCUAGGUGUUGGGGAGCAAAGCUCUUCGGUGCCGUCGCAAACGCAGUAAGCAUUCCACCUGGGGAGUACGUUCGCAAGAAUGAAACUCAAAGGAAUUGACGGGGACCCGCACAAGCGGUGGAGCAUGUGGUUUAAUUCGAAGCAACGCGAAGAACCUUACCAAGUCUUGACAUCCUCCUGAAUGAUGGGUAAAGCCGUCAGGCCUUCGGGACAGGAGAGACAGGUGGUGCAUGGUUGUCGUCAGCUCGUGUCGUGAGAUGUUGGGUUAAGUCCCGCAACGAGCGCAACCCUUAUCCUCAGUAGCCAGCGGCCAGGCCGGGCACUCUGUGGAGACUGCCAGGGAGAACCUGGAGGAAGGUGGGGAUGACGUCAAAUCAUCAUGCCCCUUAUGAUUUGGGCUACACACGUGCUACAAUGGCGUAAACAAAGGGAAGCGAAGUGGCGACACGGAGCGAACCCCAAAAAUAACGUCUCAGUUCGGAUUGUAGUCUGCAACUCGACUACAUGAAGCUGGAAUCGCUAGUAAUC